CGCGGCGUGCCCGAGCGGCCAGUGAGCGGUCUGCAACACCGCUGACGCGGGUUCCAAUUCUGCCGUCGCAU
rnacentral:tRNA from 1 species